rnacentral:tRNA from 1 species
GCUUAGUUGGUAAAGCACAAAAGCUCUUAACCUUGUGGAUGUGGGUUCAAGCCCCAU